AACUUACAGAAAUAGUAAAUAAUAGCAAGGAAAUGCAUUAGAGUAUCUUUUGUUUUAGCUUGUGAAUUUUCCUUGUGCUAAGAGGGAGGUUUAUCCCUGUUUUUGUAAAUUUGAAGCUUUGCCUAGAGGGGAGUCCUCUGUGUUUUAAAUGUUUUU